CCUCCUCCUCCUCCUCCUCCUCCUCCUCCUCCUCCUCCUCCACCUCGUCUUCCUCUCUCCCUCCCUCCCUCAGCUGAGAGCCGAGCGCGGAUGACGUCUGCCUACAGUCUCUCUCGGUCAGUGGAAGGGGUGUGGAGGGUCGCCGCGUCUACAGAUCGGAGACUCGGUUCGGGCGUGUUUCUAAAGGAUACCCGACCAUUUACAGGGUGUGGGCGCUGCUGCUAUCACCCUGCCACCCACCUUGCCGGCCCGUCAGCCUCCGUCGGUCGAGGCUCGGAUUAGAGGUUUCGAACGAGGGCCACAGAGACUUGAGUUAUAGAGGUGAGCGGGAAGAUUACGCAACGCUGACUUACGUGUGUACUGGCGCU